CAUCGCCUUUUGAAUUUAAUUUAAGGUCUGGCCUGCCCAAUGAGUAUUUAAAUGGCCGCGAUAUUCUGAUCGUGCGAAGGUAGCAUAAUCAUUAGUUUCUUAAUUGGAAGCUGGAAUGAAUGGUCGGACAAGGAAGUAGCUGUCUCAGUUUUAUUUUAAUAGAAUUUUAUUUUUGAGUAAAAAAGCUUAAAUUUAGAUUAAAGACGAGAAGACCCUAUAGAGUUUAAUAUAUUAAUUGUAAAUUAAUUAAGGAAUUUUUACUUUUUUAUGAGUAAAUAUAUUUGGUUGGGGUGACAGAAAAAUUUAAUAAACUUUUUCUUUUUUUAUAUACAUAUUUGUAGUUAAUUGAUCCAUUAGAAUGAUUAAAAGAAUAAAUUACCUUAGGGAUAACAGCGUAAUUUCCUUAAAGAGUUCUUAUCGAAAAGGGAGAUUGCGACCUCGAUGUUGGAUUAAAGUUAAAUUUUGGUGUAGAAGCUGAAAAUUUUAGUCUGUUCGACUAUUAAAACUUUACAUGAUCUGAGU
rnacentral:rRNA from 1 species